rnacentral:lncRNA from 1 species
UGUACUCAAUUGAUCACUUUGAAACCAUCGCCGUCAUUGAAAUCGAUUGCGCUAUUAUCGGAGUCAACGACGCCAUCGUCGGGUCUCUUUUUAAUCAGGUCUUUUCUUCUUAUUUUUUCAUUCUUCCAAUGUAUAGAUCUUGGGUCUAUAUAUUUUUUACAGGUAAAUUAUGAAUAAUGGUGAUAGUAGCGGGUCUCUGAUCAAAAUGGUGUUUUGAUUUUGCUAGCUAACAUAUACUUGUAUAGAUUUUGGGUUCGAAGGCGGUGAUUUGUUUUUAAAUUAUAGAUGUGUUUUAAAUGUAAUAAAAUUCCUAAAAAUAUUUUGUCUCUCUUUCUUGGCUGGAGCUUACUUAUACACUUGAUUUUUUGGAUGGAGUUUGAUCGAUUUCUGAUGGUUUUAGCAAGAUCGGUCCAUGAAAGCUUGCAAGGAAUAACAUGAUACAGAAAGAGCAAAUAUAGUCAAUUUCGAGUGGCCUAGAAAUCCUAGCAAUUGCAUAUCUAGAAACGAUGCCAUCACAGAAUAUCCUUUAAAUCUCAGCAUUCCAGAAGCUUCGUGAAACGAAAAAGCUCCGGAUGAUUUCGGAUAAUCCUUAAACACUACAUAUCCAAAUCUAGGGCUUUGAAUUUGAUCCAAAAGAGUAAAAUCUCGAUCGCAGAAAUUUUUGAUUUCGAAAACAACUUAGGAUCCAUCGUCGUAUAUCGGCGAUCCGCUGAUUGUGACGUUGUUCAGUGAGAAUUGAUAAUCGAAAGUGUUUGAGGUAACUGUAAGGGAAUGGUCGGAUGACAUGAUUGGGGCACAGGGGAAUGAUCGAAGGCUUUCGAUGGAGAAGGUGACAGGAACAAAGUGGAGUUGGAGGAGAGAGAGAAAUGGAUUGACG